UCCCAUUUCCUUCCUCUCUGCCGCCGCCACCUCCUCCCCCUUCUCUUCUCCACUGGCCCGAGCGCCUUCCCCCUUCUCUUUGCAACUGCGAGCUUGUCCCCCCGGUCUUCUCUUCUCUCCUUGCUCCAGUCGACCGGCCGCCGCCACCUCCCUCCCGAUCUCCCUCGCCCCCCACUCCUCUCCAUCUCCAGCCAUCUCACCCGCCCCCACUCCUCUCUGUCUCACCCGUGGGCGCGCCUCCUGUCUCACCCGACCACGACGCCACACCGCAAGGGAGCGUCGGGCUCGACCCCGCGCGCGGCCGGAUUCGGCGCCCCCAACCCUGACCGCCUUGGAUCCGGCGUCCCCUACCCCGGUGGCCGCUAGAUCCCCGACCCCGACCAUUGCCGCCGGCGUCUCCGAUCCGGGUAAGUCGCUCUCUGUUCUCUCUCUCCUAUUGAUUCUCCCUCCCUCUCUCCCUCUCUCACUCUCUAUCCCUCACAGGUAGCGCCAUGGAGUCCCGGCCAUGGAGUCAUGGAGUCGCGAGCAGCGCCAUGGAGUCCCAGCCGCCGCCGUUGUGGUGUGGUAUGGUGUCUGCCACCGCCGCCAUGGAGACGAGGGUGCGCCUCCACGUUCGUCCCCGACGUCGACUUUGGCCUG
rnacentral:lncRNA from 1 species